GCGGGUAUAGUUCAGUGGUAGAACGGCUGCUUGCCAAGUAGCAGAUACGGGUCCGAUUCCCGUUACCCGCU
rfam:Microgenomates bacterium GW2011_GWA2_46_16 TX37_C0009, whole genome shotgun sequence.